rnacentral:rRNA from 1 species
GAGUUUGAUCCUGGCUCAGGAUGAACGCUGGCGGCGUGCCUAACACAUGCAAGUCGAACGAAGAGGCCCCUUCGGGGGUACUUCAGUGGCGGACGGGUGAGUACAACAUAGGUGACCUGCCCCAAAGCGGGGGAUAACAGUCCGAAAGGAUUGCUAAUACCCCAUGUAGUCAUCGAGGUUUGAGUCUCAAUGACUAAAGGAGCAAUCCGUUUUGGGAGGGGCCUGUGGCCCAUCAGUUUGUUGGCAGGGUAAUGGCCUACCAAGACUACGACGGGUAGGGGGCCUGAGAGGGUGACCCCCCACAUUGGCACUGACACACGGGCCAAACUCCUACGGGAGGCAGCAGUGAGGAAUACUGCACAAUGGGCGAAAGCCUGAUGCAGCAACGCCGCGUGAGCGAUGAAGGCCUUCGGGUCGUAAAGCUCUUUUGAGAGGAACGAGAUAGGACGGUACCUUUCGAAUAAGUCGCGGCUAACUACGUGCCAGCAGCCGCGGUAAAACGUAGGUGGCAAGCGUUAUCCGGAUUCACUGGGCGUAAAGCGAGUGCAGGUGGCCUUGUAAGUUGGAUGUGAAAUUUCCCGGCUUAACCGGGAAAGGUCAUUCAAUACUGCAGGGCUUGAGGG